AUUGAACGCUGGCGGCGUGCUUAACACAUGCAAGUCGAUCGGUAACAGGUGUAGCAAUACAUGCUGACGAGAGGCGGACGGGUGAGUAAUGCUUGGGAAUCUGCCUAUUAGUGGGGGACAACCCGGGGAAACUCGGGCUAAUACCGCAUACGCUCUACGGAGGAAAGCCGGGGACCGCAAGGCCUGGCGCUAAUAGAUGAGCCCAAGUCGGAUUAGCUAGUUGGUAGGAACGGCCUACCAAGGCGACAAUCCGUAGCUGGUCUGAGAGGACGACCAG
rnacentral:rRNA from 1 species